rnacentral:rRNA from 1 species
UACAGAGGUGCCGAGCGUUAGGCGGAAUCACUGGGCUUAAAGCGCGUGUAGGCGGGUCGUUAAGUGUCCGCGUGAAAUCCCACGGCUCAACCGUGGAACUGCCGGGCAUACUGGCGACCUUGAGGCACUUAGGGGCGAGCGGAACAAAUGGUGGAGCGGUGAAAUGCGUAGAUAUCAUUCGGAACGCCGACGGUGAAAACAGCUCGCUGGGAGUGUCCUGACGCUGAGACGCGAAAGCCAGGGGAGCGAACGGG